rnacentral:rRNA from 1 species
AUUGAACGCUGGCGGCAGGCCUAACACAUGCAAGUCGAGCGAGCGGCGGACGGGUGAGUAAUGUCUGGGAAACUGCCUGAUGGAGGGGGAUAACUACUGGAAACGGUAGCUACUACCGCAUACGAUCCGAUGUGCCCAGAUGGGAUUAGCUAGUAGGUGGGGUAAUGGCUCACCUAGGCGACGAUCCCUAGCUGGUCUGAGAGGAUGACCGGCCACACUGGAACUGAGACACGGCCCAGACUCCUACGGGAGGCAGCAGUGGGGAAUAUUGGACAAUGGGCGAAAGCCUGAUGCAGCCAUGCCGCGUGUAUGAAGAAGGCCUUCGGGUUGUAAAGUACUUUCAGCUGGGAGGCGUUACCCGCAGAAGAAGCACCGGCUAACUCCGUGCCAGCAGCCGCGGUAAUUC